GAAAUGCGAUACUUGGUGUGAAUUGCAGAAUCCCGUGAACCAUCGAGUCUUUGAACGCAAGUUGCGCCCGAAGCCAUUAGGUUGAGGGCACGUCUGCCUGGGCGUCUCAUGUUGCGUCGCCCGCGCCCCCUCCCUCCCCCCACGAAGGGGGAAAGAAGGGCUGCGGGCGUAUGUUGGCCCCCCGUGCGCCCCCACGCUCAGUCGGCCCAAAAGCGAGUCCCCCGCGACGGACGACGCGUCGCGAUGAGCGGUGGUUGACAAACCGUUGCGUCGCCUCGCGCGCAUCUGGGUAGUCUCGAGAGGCCUGUCGUGACCCUAUCGCGCUGCCGCCAAGGCAUUCCGAUUGCUACCCCAGGUCAGGCGGGAUUACCUGCUGAGUUUAG
rnacentral:misc_RNA from 1 species